ACGGGUGAGUAACGCGUGGGCAACCUACCCUAAAGUCUGGGAUAACAGCGGGAAACUGCUGCUAAUACCGGAUAGCUUUAACCGGGGGCAUCUUCGGUUAAAGAAAGAAGCGAUUCGCUUUAGGAUGGGCCCGCGUCCCAUUAGCUGGUUGGUGAGGUAACGGCUCACCAAGGCGACGAUGGGUAGCCGGCCUGAGAGGGUGAACGGCCACACUGGGACUGAGACACGGCCCAGACUCCUACGGGAGGCAGCAGUAGGGAAUAUUGCGCAAUGGAGGGAACUCUGACGCAGCGACGCCGCGUGAGCGAUGAAGGUCUUCGGAUCGUAAAGCUCUGUCCUUGGGGAAGAAGGGAGCCGUAAGGCUUCUUGACGGUACCCAUGGAGGAAGCCCCGGCUAACUACGUGCCAGCAGCCGCGGUAAUACGUAGGGGGCAAGCGUUGUCCGGAAUUAUUGGGCGUAAAGGGUGCGUAGGCGGCCCUUUAAGUCAGAUGUGAAAGCCCACGGCUUAACCGUGGGACUGCAUUUGAAACUGGAGGGCUUGAGUGUCGGAGAGGGCAGUGGAAUU
rnacentral:rRNA from 1 species